rnacentral:misc_RNA from 1 species
GGACUGCGGAAGGAUCAUUAAAGAGUAAGGGUGCUCAGCGCCCGACCUCCAACCCUUUGUUGUUAAAACUACCUUGUUGCUUUGGCGGGACCGCUCGGUCUCGAGCCGCUGGGGAUUCGUCCCAGGCGAGCGCCCGCCAGAGUUAAACCAAACUCUUGUUAUUUAACCGGUCGUCUGAGUUAAAAUUUUGAAUAAAUCAAAACUUUCAACAACGGAUCUCUUGGUUCUCGCAUCGAUGAAGAACGCAGCGAAAUGCGAUAAGUAAUGUGAAUUGCAGAAUUCAGUGAAUCAUCGAAUCUUUGAACGCACAUUGCGCCCCUUGGUAUUCCGAGGGGCAUGCCUGUUCGAGCGUCAUUACACCACUCAAGCUAUGCUUGGUAUUGGGCGUCGUCCUUAGUUGGGCGCGCCUUAAAGACCUCGGCGAGGCCACUCCGGCUUUAGGCGUAGUAGAAUUUAUUCGAACGUCUGUCAAAGGAGAGGAACUCUGCCGACUGAAACCUUUAUUUUUCUAGGUUGACCUCGGAUCAGGUAGGGAUACCCGCUGAACUUAA